rnacentral:rRNA from 1 species
UACGGAGGAUCCAAGCGUUAUCCGGAUUCAUUGGGUUUAAAGGGUGCGUAGGCGGAAUAGUAAGUCAGUGGUGAAAGCCCGUAGCUUAACUGCGGAACUGCCAUUGAUACUGCUAAUCUUGAGUACAUUUGAUGUGGGCGGAAUGUGUCGUGUAGCGGUGAAAUGCUUAGAUAUGACACAGAACACCGAUUGCGAAGGCAGCUCACAAAACUGUUACUGACGCUGAGGCACGAAAGCGUGGGGAUCGAAC